rnacentral:misc_RNA from 1 species
UUUGCCAAGAGACUACAUGCUUUUGCUACCAUCACAAACCAAAACUCAUAACCCCAAAUUAGGUAAAUCUGAUUCUGAUUCUCUCUUUGGGAAUGAUAGAGUCCAGAUGGAACCUAAACCCUUUGAAAUUUCUUCUCCAAUUAGCUUAUCCCCCAAUUCCCCUUUGAGUUCUAAAAAGUUUUGUUCAGAGAAUAGAACUAAUACUGUAACAAGUUUAUCACUGUUUAGUGGUGAAGGUGCACGAACUGAUAAUUCUUUGGAANAUCAAGUUCGCUUCCAGUACCCAUUGGUUCUAGCCAUGGGUAUGUAGGUUCUAUCUCUGCACGUGAGAUUGAGCUUUCUGAGGAUUAUACUUGUAUAAUUUCCUAUGGUCCAAACCCUAAAACAACUCACAUUUUUGGUGACUGUAUUUUGGAAUGUCACACAAAUGAG